rnacentral:pre_miRNA from 1 species
UGUCGCAGGAGCGAUGGCACCGGUUGGGUUAAUUGCUUUCUGUCUUGAUAAACAUGAAGCUAAACCUGCAGUCUAGUGGUGCCGUCGCACUGUGACAAG